AAAUAGCUUUAGGGCUAGCCUCAAGUGAUGAUUAUUGGAGGUAGAGCACUGUUUGGACGAGGGGCCCCUCUCGGGUUACCGAAUUCAGACAAACUCCGAAUGCCAAUUAAUUUAACUUGGGAGUCAGAACAUGGGUGAUAAGGUCCGUGUUCGAAAGGGAAACAGCCCAGACCACCAGCUAAGGUCCCAAAAUAUAUGUUAAGUGGAAAAGGAUGUGGCGUUGCCCAGACAACUAGGAUGUUGGCUUAGAAGCAGCCAUCAUUUAAAGAGUGCGUAAUAGCUCACUAGUCGAGUGACACUGCGCCGAAAAUGUACCGGGGCUAAACAUAUUACCGAAGCUGUGGAUUGUCCUUUGGACAAUGGUAGGAGAGCGUUCUAAGGGCGUUGAAGCAUGAUCGUAAGGACAUGUGGAGCGCUUAGAAGUGAGAAUGCCGGUGUGAGUAGCGAAAGACGGGUGAGAAUCCCGUCCACCGAUUGACUAAGGUUUCCAGAGGAAGGCUCGUCCGC
rnacentral:rRNA from 1 species